GUUUUUGAAAUAAGAAGAAAAAGAAAAGGGAAACAUUGGUAAGUGUCGAAGAAGCUGAAGAAGGAAAGGAAAGUCGCUGGAAGGAAGGAGCUGAUCGUUGGAUUUAACGAACCGUUGGACCAAAUCGACCCGCUGUACCAAACCGCUCUACCAGAACCAACCCGACCCGACCCAAUUAGCAGAUUCUGAUCCACUACCCAAAACCAGACUCGAUGGACCUAAUUGUAGAUCUUUGAACGAAUUAGAAAUUUGUUGAAGACCCGAAACAAGCUCGAAAAGUCUACAACAAGUGUUAAGUAGACCAAUGUCGGUGGCGGGAACGUGUGGAGCCAUGCGGCUACAGUGGAGACCCUUAGAUCGAGUCUUCUUUGUCCAUGUCGUUUUAAUGUCAUUUUGAUGUUUAUUUUGGGAA